GGAUGUGAGGGCAAUCUGUCUGCAACAUCUGUCACCCCAUUGAUCACCAGGGUUGAUUUGGCUGAUCUGGCUGGCUAGGUGGGUGUCCCCUUCCUCCCUCACAGCUCCAUGUGCAUCCCUCCCAAAGCUGCACGCUCGGUCGAAGAGGACGACCUUCCCCAAAUAGAGGAGGACCGGUUUCAGUCAAAGGUAUACGAGUAACUGUGCUCCCCUGCUAGAACCUCCGAACAAGAAGGGACCAAGGCAGACUUUUUGCUCCUCCUGACCUGGAACCACCACAGCAUGAGGGUCA
rnacentral:snRNA from 1 species